rnacentral:rRNA from 1 species
AGAUUGAACGCUGGCGGCAGGCCUAACACAUGCAAGUCGAGCGGUAGGGAGGUGCUUGCAUCUCUUGAGAGCGGCGGACGGGUGAGUAAUGCCUAGGAAUCUGCCUAGUGGUGGGGGAUAACGUUCGGAAACGGACGCUAAUACCGCAUACGUCCUACGGGAGAAAGCGGGGGACCUUCGGGCCUCGCGCCAUUAGAUGAGCCUAGGUCGGAUUAGCUAGUUGGUGAGGUAAUGGCUCACCAAGGCGACGAUCCGUAACUGGUCUGAGAGGAUGAUCAGUCACACUGGAACUGAGACACGGUCCAGACUCCUACGGGAGGCAGCAGUGGGGAAUAUUGGACAAUGGGCGAAAGCCUGAUCCAGCCAUGCCGCGUGUGUGAAGAAGGUCUUCGGAUUGUAAAGCAACUUUAAGUUGGAGGAAGGUUGUAACCUAAUACGUUGCAACUUUUGACGUUACCGACAGAAUAAGCACCGGCUAACUUCGUGCCAGCAGCCG